UAUACUUUAUGUCCUAAUUUAUUGCAGCAAUGACAAGUUAUAUUUUCAUUUUUGGCUUUCACAAAUAUGUUCUUUAAGUAUUUUUGUUUCCUAUUUGUUUUAUAUCCUAAACCAGCUUUAUCAUAUACAGCUUUUUGACUAUCAAGAAUCAUAUUUAAUUUAGUUGAGCUAAGUGUAAACUUGUCCACUAAGGAUUUGUAUUUUUCAGCAUCUUCUUUUAACUUGACAUUUUCAGCAAUUUGACUUUUGGUUUCAUUGGUGAAUCUCCUACUUAAUGUUUCAUAGUCAUUAGAUAGUUUUAGCUUUUCUUUGAUAAGAGAUUGAUUUU
rnacentral:lncRNA from 1 species